rnacentral:misc_RNA from 1 species
UGUGGGAGCGGGCUUGCCCGCGAUGCAGGCACCUCGUGCUGUCAGUUAAACCGCGGUGAUGCUAUCGCGGGCAAGCCCGAUCCCACA